CGAACGGGUGAGUAACACGUGAGUAAUCUGCCCUUGGCUUCGGGAUAGCCACCGGAAACGGUGAUUAAUACCGGAUAUGACCACUUCAGGCAUCUGGUGGUGGUGGAAAGUUUUUUCGGCCAGGGAUGUGCUCGCGGCCUAUCAGCUUGAUGGUGAGGUAAUGGCUCACCAUGGCUUCGACGGGUAGCCGGCCUGAGAGGGUGACCGGUCACACUGGGACUGAGACACGGCCCAGACUCCUACGGGAGGCAGCAGCG
rnacentral:rRNA from 1 species